CCUACGGGGGGCAGCAGUGGGGAAUAUUGGACAAUGGGGGGAACCCUGAUCCAGCCAUGCCGCGUGUGUGAAGAAGGCCUUAUGGUUGUAAAGCACUUUAAGCGAGGAGGAGGCUACUCUAGUUAAUACCUAGGGAUAGUGGACGUUACUCGCAGAAUAAGCACCGGCUAACUCUGUGCCAGCAGCCGCGGUAAUACAGAGGGUGCGAGCGUUAAUCGGAUUUACUGGGCGUAAAGCGUGCGUAGGCGGCUUAUUAAGUCGGAUGUGAAAUCCCCGAGCUUAACUUGGGAAUUGCAUUCGAUACUGGUGAGCUAGAGUAUGGGAGAGGAUGGUAGAAUUCCAGGUGUAGCGGUGAAAUGCGUAGAGAUCUGGAGGAAUACCGAUGGCGAAGGCAGCCAUCUGGCCUAAUACUGACGCUGAGGUACGAAAGCAUGGGGAGCAAACAGGAUUAGAUACCCGGGUAGUC
rnacentral:rRNA from 1 species